UGGUCCUAUAGUUGAUGUGUAUGUUC
rnacentral:piRNA from 2 species